AUGGAAACACCGCCUAUUCCACCUGAAGUUGCUGAACUCUUGGAACAAUAUGCGGUGCUUUUUGAGGAACCCAACAGCCUGCCUCCUCAACGCUUGUUCGACCACGCCAUUCCACUGGUGCCUGGAGCUCGGCCAGUUAACCUCAGACCAUACAGGCACAGCCCAGCGCAGAAGGACGAAGUGGAACGUCAGGUCUCAGAAAUGCUUGCCCAGGGGAUAAUCCAACCCAGCUCCAGCCUGUUCGCAUCUCCGGUUCUUUUGGUGCAGAAAAAGGACCUUACCUGGCGAUUUUGUGUAGACUACCGGCAUCUCAAUGCAGUCACUGUCAAGAAUCGCUACCCUCUGCCUGUGAUUGAAGAACUUCUUGACGAGCUAGCAGGGUCAUGA
rnacentral:rRNA from 1 species